rnacentral:rRNA from 1 species
UACGUAGGGGGCAAGCGUUGUCCGGAAUCAUUGGGCGUAAAGAGCGUGUAGGCGGUCCGGUAAGUCGGCUGUGAAAGUCCAGGGCUCAACCCUGGGAUGCCGGUCGAAACUGCCGUGACUCGAGUCCGGUAGGGGAGUGCGGAAUUCCCGGUGUAGCGGUGAAAUGCGCAGAUAUCGGGAGGAACACCAGUGGCGAAGGCGGCACUCUGGGCCGGAACUGACGCUGAGGAGCGAAAGCGUGGGGAGCGAACAGG